rnacentral:lncRNA from 1 species
GAGAGCUUUCUCUGGCUGCAGAAAUCAGUACAGUCAUCGUGCAGAGAAGAACGAAGAAAGUAACAGUCUGCAGUCAGCAAACUAUCAAUCCAGGAUGCACUGUGAAAGCUAAAAGACCAUGAUUGCACUGUUUAAACUGACACUCAUCUCCUGGAGGCAGGUGGGAGACUAUGAUGGAAAUCUGGCCCGGGAUUUAAUAGCGAAAGUUGUGGAAUUAUAAAGGAAGCUAAAGUCAAAUCUCUGGCAAGAUUUUCAUGCUAACAUCCCAUAGAAAAAAGGAGAACUCAGAGACCUAGAACUUGUAUUUUGUGAAAAGUGCUUGAGAAUCUCGAACUCACAAAUUCUCUGAAUCUUCUGAAUUAGCAGAAAUAGCUCUUUCCCCCUUGCUAGAGGAAGCCUCUCGUUGCCUGAAGACUAUGCAAAGUUUUCAUCUGAGAAAGAUGCCUUGCAUGAUUAUAUUUAUCCUCUUCAAGAUUUUCCACUGUCUUCCUUAUUUCUUCAUCAAUGAAGAAUGAAGCUUCAGCAUCAUCAGGCCCUAAAGUGCUGUCCCAGUUAUAAGAAGAGAAAGCAUUUAAUAAAGAGCUGAGGAGUGUGGUUAAUAGGUACGGACGGGAACUGCAAGAUAAUGCCUGGGUAAGAAUCUUAAUGGGACUAGACCAGAGAAGGAAGAAUGUAAGACUGGAAGAGAGAAAGUUUAUCAAUAUGGGGCCACUCUCCCAUUACUCAAAAUUGAACUUAUUGGCAAGGCCUGAAGUAUCUGGAAUAACUAUUUGAAUUUUGGGAAACAUGAUGGUUUACAGUAAAUGAGUUGGAGCUGCCAGAACAAAAUAGGUGGAUAAUUAGGGGUUCAAAUGCCUUUGAGGUGUGUGCAUGUGGAGUGAAUUUGUUAUGUAAGACUAGAGAACCCAGUGGCAGAGAAUGAUGUUCAAGAUGACCCAGAAAGCACUCCUUCACAACAAGACAAGAAAUGCACUAGCAAAGGAGGUAUUGAUAUAUCUGAGAAACUUAGUGGGGGCAGUCCUCUUGGGCAAAGAUUGAUGGUAAGAUAUACAGCCUGAAAUGUGUCUACCUAAUGUCUACAAAGAUACUAGGAUUCUGGGAAAGCAGAAGUUACGGGUCAGUAUAUAAGCUCACUAGGUGUAAGAUGAACUUAAUAAUAUAAUCAGCAGCAAGACCAGAAUGACAAUCAUGCAGACUUUAACUAUAGGCAUUACUGACACAAGCUAAGAGACUAUGUUGUUUCUUCUAGUGGCAAAAUAGAUGGGAAUUCAAUGAAGUUAUUGUUUGACAUAAACAACCGUAAAAGAUGACAGGUGAAUGAAUGUGAAGAAAGUGAAUGAAGAGUGAAGGCUGAUGUUUAAACAUCAUAAUAAAAAAUCACAAUUUAUCAAAUGUUUUCCAGACUUAAACCAUUUUUCAGCCUAGAGUCCAUUGAUUGAACUGGAACCCAGGUACUUUUGAGGAAAUAUUAACACAAAAAUGUCACAUCAAGUAUUAUAAUCACUAUUCUUCUAAACUAUCCCUCAAAGGGAGAUAAGCCUAUUUUUAAGAGUAGAAAAAUAUUGGGAAAGGAAAAUAUUCAGAACUUUCAUGGAUUUUUAGAUGUAGAAUAUGCCUUGAUAUUGUUAACAGAGGGACAAGAUAACACAAUGCCCCUUCCCUAUAAAAUCCAGGUGACAGAGUCAAUACACACAUCUAUCUCACCAUAGAGCCUAUGGGUUUACUGAAACACCUGGUAAUUAUUCCUCCAGACCCUGAUUUUAUAAUAGGAAUAUUUAUACUUAAAAACAGAUUUCUUACAUGAGCUCCCUGACCUGUGAACUAAAACCUAUCACAAUAAAAAAAGGCCAAGUGGAAUGGCAAAAACUGCAAUUACUUUCUCACCAACAUAAUAUUUGGCCAUAGUAGAGACUCUGACCUUCACAGGUCGUUUGACUAUGUACCAGAGUUGGCCUUCGUGAGCUGCAUAUUGUAAGACACACCAUUUCAUAAAAUAGAGUACAAAUAGCAUCAAUUUCUUGCAAAAUGGAAUUGGGGUAUUCAGAAUAGAAAUCAAGCAGGUUCAAAGACAUAAUUAAGCUUCAGAAAUAAGAAGCCCAGAUCCCAUGAUGCUAUCCUGUUGAACAAAUGCCUCUAUUCUGGUAGUACCUGUUGUGUUUGUAGAAUUUCCUACAACCAGAAAAGGAGAAGCCUGAGGUUGGUUCUCAAUAUGCCAAAGUGAACUGAAAACGAUUGCUGUUCCUUUACACCCUUCACUCAGUGUUUGGCCCCAAAAGGCUAAGCAUGAGGGAAAACAUCUCCAAAUCUUUCAGCUACACAGUUGGUCAUCAUCUUUACAGGGAGAGAGGAGUAGUCUAGAAGAAGUAUAUGUGUUAACUACUGAUUAGGGGGAUGUUGCCUUAUUAGAUUGUCAGGGAACCAAAAGCAAAGAGGUCUGGGAGGAUUUUUGAGGAUAGACCCAUAGAAAUUAGCACAAAUAUAGUAAACUCCUGUGUCACUUAUCAGAGUCCAUGAGGCAUUGCUUUUUCAGCUGUGACAGUAGCUAAGUCAGUUUUCAUGCUAGAGAGCCACAGCAAAUCCAUCACCUUCUGUCAGGACCAGAAUCUACUUCUGAGACUUUGAUGUGGUACCAUUUCUUAGGAGACCAAUCAGCUCUUGGUGUGAAGUUAAUUUUAAUAUACCUUGUCUAUCACGGAGAAGGCAGGGAUUCAUCUUUACUGGGAUAUUCUAGAUUUAGCUUUUCCUUUUUGUCUGGCUUAAGCAUUCUAUGAAACUCUUAGAGUGUCUUAUUUAACGACAUAAAACGGUAUAUAAAAACACUUUGAAUAAAUGGAAUAAGACAGAGGAAAUGUGACAAUUGGCUUAUGUCAUCUGCAUUUCCAUAUAUAUAUGUAUAUGUGUAUGUAUAUGUAUAUAAUUUCAACUUCUAGAUUCAGUGGGUACAUGUGCAGGAUGGUUACCUGGGUAUCUUGCAUGAUGCUGAGUUUUGGGGUAUGAUUGAUCCCAUCACAGGUACUGAGUAUAGUACCCAAUAGUUUUUCAAUGGUAUCAUUGCUGGCCCCCAACCUCACUAGCAGUCCCCAGUUUCUAUUAUUUCCAUCUUUACGUUCAUGAGUACCCAGUGUUUAGCUCCCAAUUAUAAGUGAGAACAUGCGGCAUUUGGUGUUCUAUUCCUGUGUCAAUUCACUUAGGAUAAUGGCCUCCAGCUGCAUCCAUGUUGAUGGAUUAUUUCAUUAUUUUUUUUAUGGCUACAUAGUGGCCCACGGUGU